ACUCAGUACCUCUGGAUGUGAUCGAAUAUAUGCAUCAAGGUCUUCACCAACUUUGAGAAUUGCACGGACAAGCAGUAAUGCAGCAGAAGUAAGCUUUUUCUCCAUCUCCAACCCCUUAUUUUUCUUUUUCUUUUGACCCGUCUCUGUCUGCACCACCAAGUUAAUUGUGCGGGUAUGAAUACGGUUUAUGAUAAUAGAAAACCCAUCUUGCUUGCCAUUGCCAUUUUUCUUGCGGGAUGAUUUAAUAGAAAACCCGUCUGGCUUGCUACUGCCAUUAAUCUUGCAGGAUGGUCCCCCACGGAUCUGCUCUUGAGCUGCCAAGAGUAAAACUGCAGUCUGAACAAGUUUUCCAUCCUUUAUGUAAUUCCAGAGCUCAUUAACAAGACUAUCAGUAUUUUCCGCGAGCAGUCUAGUCGUAUCCAAGAAGAUUUUCUGCAAAAACAUCCAAAGGAACAUAAUUCCAGGGUUUUUAGAAUUUUUACAGCAGCACAAUGCUGACCAACUACAAGAAAUAUUGCCACGUCUGAAUAAAACAAAAUCAAACCUUAAACUUUGCUGCGUCUACUGGAAUUUGCAAACUCCUAACUAAUUAAAAAUGUGUAUCGACGCAUGGACACGUCAUGUAUUCAAUAAAUGGAUAUAUAAGAAUGCUCAAUACUUAGGUUGCGGCAUUGGUGUUUUGAGAUAAGAGCUCAAUAACUUUUAGAGUUAAUUACGCAAUGUUCAAUACAAAAGGUGCCGUAGUUUAAGAAAACCCCAAAUGAAGCAUGUUGUGUCACUUCAUCCCUAAAUAAACAAACCAAAUUCUUCACUUUGCCCAAUCCCUAGCUCUAAUCCACAAAGUUCUACCCCACUUUAUUGGACUGUGAUCAUGCUAAACAAACACAAAUUCGAAGUCUCAGUCAUCUGCCCACAAGUAAAAACUGACAUGUCAUCGCUGCAAGAUCAUGAAAACAUAUUAAAAUUGUUAUGUAUUAGUCCAAAUGUCAUCUAAUACGCCAGUUGCCCCUAAACAGCUAAAAUUGUCUCACAGGACCCAAGUAGGGAGAGAGAAACUUGAUGCCAUGUCCUAAUCCACCACUGCCAACACUAAAAGCUGGAGUAAGAGGGCAUAAGGGAGGGGAGGGGUAUGUUAGAGGUAAAGGUGGGGCAAAUGAAACAAUACAGCAUGUAUAUACGGGGUCAAAUGCCACAUCAUGCUUUACGCAGGGUUUUUUUCCAUAUCAUGGCAUCUUCAUAUGGGGCAAAGUGCAAUUCACUCUACUUUUUAAUUUUGUUAUGCUGCAAAAGUAGCAAUUCGAGACAUACCAUCUCAGGUAGGCAUAGCAGAUGAAUAAGCUUGCAAAUGUAGUUUAGAUUUGCCUGACUGUCUUCCAGAUCCUCCUGGUCCGGAAAUGCAUUGUCCUCCAGAUACUUAUGCAGGCAAGUGUUCUCAACUGCAACAUGGAGUGGGAGUAGGUCCUCAACAAUAUGAGCUCCUGCAGUGCGUACAUUUGCUGAUGCACCAUAGCUGAAGAGCAACUUGACCAUGUCAACAGAAAACAUUUCAGCAGCUUGGUGGAGAGGGAAAUAUCCAUGACGGUUCAUGCAGUUGGGGUUGGCACGGAACCAAGUAAGCUCCGGUGCCUUGCCCUCCAAGGCAACUUUAGCACAUUUCAAAGCAUUUUGCUUGACCAUCUGGGUGAAGGUUUGUGGGGUGAUGAUAAAACCCCAUCCCAUGCUGAGCCCCACUUGACUGAACAAGCGAAGGAAGCGCCUCACGCUAUCCUUUUCCAGUAUGGGCAACAAGCUGGGAAGUUCCUCGUAGAAGGAUUCAUUCACUUCCUGAAUUGAUAAAUUCACAAUUGAAAAGGGUAAAUGACAAUCAAUUAUCUAUUAGUAGAAGAGAUAACAAAAUGAACAAAGUCUUCCUCUAAUGCAUCACAAGCCAACAAACAGAAAAGUCGAAAUAGCUGAAAGAUAAAUCCUUCGAAUUCUAUAAAUGAAGAUAGAAAGGAACCCAAGGAGUACGGUCUGGAAUGAUUAUGUUGGUUCUUCUUGAUGUAGCAAUAAUUUCACUUCUUUCAUGAUACCACUGAGAGAGAAAAUCUGUCAACAGCCGGAGCUAAGGAAAGAAAACAGAAAAAAAAAGAGGAAUAACAUAAGUGUUGCUGUUAGUUAACCUACCUCCCUGACCAACCGGGCAUGAGACUUCAAGUCAAGAUCGGGAGCAGGACGGCAUGGAGGAUAGGGAGGAUUCCAUGGGUCCCACUCGUCCAUGACUGGUCCAGAAAGUGCAACUUCAUUAGAAGCCGCCCUCGCUUCCUCCUUGUGUGUUGUCUCCAUUUCUGCAGCCUUGAUCUCCAGUAUCACCGUUUGUCUAGCUGACAAGUUUACCCUGGAAAACGUUCCAAAUCAAUUUCUCCUAUUUUUUUGUACUAGGGCAAUAUCUAGCUUGAAUGCAGGAUUUCCCUAAAGUACACAAAAAAACAGAUCACGAGGUAGUCUGAAAAUAUAUAUUUUGGGGUCCAUAAUAUAAACUUUUUUUUUGAGGUAAAUACAGUAGGGGAGGCCCCUACUGUGUUAAAUAUAUUAAAAUAGUGUAUUUACCAAACUGGCUAGUAGCUGGGCUGGUAUUCGCAUGCAAAGGGCUGGUAUUCGCAUGCAACCAUUCAGUGUUAGAAAAGAGAAUACCAGCCCUUUGAGCGCGCAAUCAAUAAAAGAGAAAGCAGUAGCUGGGACUAGGAGUCGAAAUAUCAUAUUGACGUCGACAAGAAAAAACACAUACUAAUUUGAAUUUCGCUAGAGAUAUUAAGGACCAGUCCGAUCUAGGGAAGAAAGAACAAGGGUCUAAGGAACACCUGGAGUCCAACGGCGAGGCAGCUAGCGACCGGUCACCACGGGCUGCAACUAAGAUCUAGAAGCAACAAAGCAGCGAAUCUGAGAGAUGACCUAAAUCCUUCUUCUAAAUCAGAAAGAAAAAUUGUUUUUUUUUGACAGAUCGUAGGAAAAAAAUGCUAAAUUCCGGACGUGUGAGUACGCCGGUCGCCAGACAAAAUUGCCGGACGGCCGUGGAUGGCGACGGUAGAAGAAAGGAGAAAGAGGCAGAGAGAUGUCUAGAGAGAGGUCGAAGAAGGUGGGAGCCCUACCUGCGAGAUGUCUGUGUGGCGCCGGGACUCGAGGAGACGGCGGAGUGGGGAUGACAGGGAAAGGAGAAGGGGGAGAAAAUAUUUCUCUGUUCCUACUUUAUUUAAGGAGCACCGUCCUCGAGGGGGCAGGUGGCACAACGGGCCAAGGUCGCUCCUUUCUCGUUAAUCGCUCCGCGUUCCAACCCAUUAGAGUGAACAAAGCCCAGGAGAGCCGUGUGAUUCGUUAGUUUAAAAAAAAAAAGCCGUGAUUCAGGAGCCGCAUCGAGUUCAGUUUACUUUUUAGGUCUUUUUAUAUUCAGCAAUUGAGUUUUUUUUUCUACUGGUUACUGCCCUUCAAUCUAUUCUAGCUGGUAUAUGGUGCGUAAUAUCUUUUCUUCAACAUGGGGAUGUAUACUGAAUUGUGUUCACUAUGAGUAUAUCUGACUAACCUUAGCUUAAUCAGUUGUGUGUACAGUCAAAAACAAUUUGUUCCGUACUUCAGUGUAUAUCACUACCGGAAAUCGGGUGUUUGCCAAGCGCAACAAUAUUUGCCGAGUGCAUUUUAUCGGGCACUUGGCAAAGAAGCUCUUUGCCGAGUGCUGCCAAAAACCACUCAGCAAAAUAAUUGCACUUGGCAAAAGAGCCAAAAAAACACUCAGCAAAGCCUGGCACUCAUCAAACAAGAAACAAAACACUCAGCAAAGAUAGGCACUCGCAAAGAAAUAUGUUUGCCAAGUGUAAUUAUUUGGCACUCGGCAAAUAAUUUCACUUUUUUUCUCAUGUGACCUUGAAACUUUUUCUACUCUCCACGUAGAACAUGUGGUAUUCCAUGUUAAAAUUUGAUAUAUUUCUGGAUCUGUUCGCUAUAUUUAAUUAGUUUAUUGCAUUUCUAGGAAUUUUUUGGUAUAAGUCAAACUUGAACUGCAAGUGAUUCAAAUAAUAGAAUAAAAUGAGUAGAAAAAUGAUAUUCAUGUUAUUGAGUCCAGUGUGAGGCCUUACGUGGGAAAUGAAAAGAAAUUUCGAACAUUUUGUUCAGAAAACAUGACCACGAACGUGUGGCUGAAUAGUUUUUAAAUUCUAAAAAACCAAACGAAAUCUGAAAAUCAUGAGAUUUGUCAUGAUGUGAUUGAAAAGGUUUCGCACAAUUUUAUCACGUACGAUGUUUACAAAACAAAUCAUCUCAGAAGAAGAAUCGUAACGUUGAGAAAGAUUCGGUAAGAUUUGAAGUCAAAGUGAUGGUCGAAUUCGGGUUUGCCUUCAAAACUUUUUGUAUAGGCAGUAGAGAACAUAAAUUAUUUCAUGUGAAAUUUUGGUAAUUUUUUGGAUCGGUUUGAUAAUUUUAAUUUAUUAAGUGCAAUUAUAGAAUUUUAAUUGAUAUAAAUUAAAUUUUAGCUGUAACUGCAUAAAAUAAUGGAGUAAUAUUUGUAGAAAAAUCAUAUAAAAGUAUUUGACAAGGUAUUUUCAAAGUACAUCGGGGAAAAGAAGGAAAACAUGGUACGGAGAAGAAGGAAAUGGGAAAAAAAAAGUUUGCCGAGUGCAGACACUCAGCAAAGAUAAGUUUGCCGAGUGCUGUGAUCUGACACUCGGCAAACUUAGCUUUAUCGAGUGUUCUAGAUUCGACACUCGGCAAACUCAGCACCUUAUAAAAGUCACCCAGCCACUACUCCCUCUCCUGCCCGCGUCGCCCCCUCCCCUCCCUCUCACCCCAUCUCCCUCCCUCUCCCUCUUUUUUUUUUCACAGGCGGCGGCGGCGGCUUGGUGGUGGCGGCGGGUGUGGUGGCGGCGGCGGGCGUGGUGGUGGUGGCGGGUUUUUUAUAUUUUUCGAAAUAUUUUUUGCCGAGUGUCGGGUUUAGCACUCGGUAACGUAUUUGUCGAGUGCUUGACAAAAAACACUCGGCAAAGACAGCUUUGCCGAGUCUCUGUUUGCCAAGUGCCGUACACUUGACAAAGGCUUUGCCUAGUAUUUUUUUUUGCCUUCGCCGUGUGCCGUGGGCACACGGCAAACCUGGGCAUUCCGGUAGUGUAUGCGGGGAAAUCCACUAUUAUUAUCACAGUAUAUGUAAAGGUGUUAAGGUGCACUGUUUUAUGCGUUCGCUUGAUAUCAACUAGGUAAACAAAAUGAGAAAAUGAGAUAUGUAUAUUUUGUAAUCAUAAUAGGAAUAGUAAGGACACAUUUAGAACUAGGGAUACAAGUUUUUAUUUCUUUUGACGCCUCUCUACUAGGUAGACACACUAACCCCACACAAUCACACCCCAAGCAUAUAUCCAGACAUACAACGAAGAUCGCAUCCCUAUAGAGAUCGAUGAAACCAACUCUAGCUUCGUAGACGAUGGGCACGCUGGAGUCCCAUUGUGUCCCCAAGCGCGAGUGGCCACUAAAUUAUUAGUGGGUGCAAGUUAUAAACAUUUUGGAUCAGGUCGACCUAAAAAGCUGAUAAAAUGAACUAGAAUGGCAUCCCGCGUAAAUAAUUUGGAAUGAGAAAUGGCAUGACAUCGUAAUUAAUCGGCUGACCCAGAAAACAUUAUUGAGUACCCACUUGCAUCUGUAUUUAGAACCAUAUUCAUUGCGGUGGGCGAACCUAUCUAAAUCUGUAUUCUAAGGUUUCAUGAAAUAGAUAUAGUUCACUAAUUGCUCUCAUCUUUUACUCUUCAUCAUGUUAGCCAAAAAAUUGCUAAAGAAGAGACAUCACUAUUUGUUAACUGAUUUUAAGCAACUGGAAAUUUUGAAAUAACUAUGCUAUUGAGUGAUUGUCUCUAUAGGUAUAUCACUGCAGCAAGGUCUACUACCGAAGCAAUCCUUGCAUACAAUGUUUUGAGUUAUUAGUAUUGAAAUAAAACAGUUCAGAAUGGUAUGAUCGAGUAAAAAUGAAGAUGAGCCAUAUACAUUGGAAGCAUGAGUUCAUUGCAUGGUAGAUGAUCAACUACCAUUUUUUUUCUCUUUGCAGAGUGGGAUAACUUGAAAGAGGUUCACUGACUAGAAAAAAUAAUGUGCUGGGAGUUCCCCCGUGCAAUAUUGAAGCUGCGGAACAUACCACCAUGAAUAAUGGUCAAUACAGCACUUCCUCG
rnacentral:lncRNA from 1 species